UCGCGUGCGAAUGCGGGAGCUCGCCGCAGAGGCGCCCGGGGAGGCCUGGCCCACGACGCCCGUGGCUCCGCUGCGGCAGCGGCGGUGCUGGUGGCGCGCGCGGCCCGGAGGCGGCUCGCGCCGUGAGCGGGAUGCUGCGGCGGGCGACCCUUCCUGGACGGGCGAGGAAGAGCAAGCCGAUGGCUCCUGCGGCCGCGCUUCGACCCGGUAUCUUAGAAGAUGGUAAUGUGGUUGCCGAUGAUUCUGAAUAAAUACAGCUUUUAUCCCAGGUGUGCCAUUCUGAAGACUGAGACAAUAGAGUUUUUAAGAAUAAAAGAGAACCCUUGGGAAAUUCUGUAUUGUAUAUAUCAAAAAUAUGAAUCCUGAGGUGGAAUGAAAGGCGUGUAUACUAUAGACAUCGAAGCAUUUACACCCAGCUUGAAGAGUUUGAAAUGGACUUUACCACUGAGAAAUCAAGAUGGCAGCCCAUUAUGGGGAAUUGAGGAAAAUGGAUUAAUGCAAGAAUGCUGUGAUAUUACACAACCAACACAGGAUUCUUUUAAUAUGGAUGCCAUGAAAUGAAUGAUUCUUACCCAACACAAAUGGACAGUGGAAUUUACUUCCUAAAGACUUGUUUCGUAUCAUGUACAUUUUUGACAUCUGGAGAAGAUGCUACAUUUCUACAAAUGGUAGUUUGUAUUCCUGUAGAUUCUUGCCGUUUGCUCUGAGUGACCUUAUGGAAUGUUAACUUUAAUAAAAUUCUAAAACUUAAAAAA
rnacentral:lncRNA from 1 species